rnacentral:rRNA from 1 species
AGUGAACGCUGGCGGCGUGCCUAAUACAUGCAAGUCGAACGGAGAUUCAGUAGCUUGCUCUUUAGUCUUAGUGGCGCACGGGUGAGUAAUAUAUAGCUAACCUGCCCAUUACUAAGGGACAACAUUUGGAAACGACUGCUAAUACCUUAUACUCCGUACUUAUAUAAGUAGAUACGGGGAAGUUUUUCGGUGAUGGAUAGGGCUAUAUCGUAUCAGCUAGUUGGUAAGGUAAUGGCUUACCAAGGCUAUGACGCGUAACUGGUCUGAGAGGAUGAUCAGUCAGACUGUGACAGAGACACGGGCCAGACACCGGCGGGAGGAAGCAGGAGGGAAUAAUGCUGGAUGGAAGAAACCCGGAGGCAGCAACGGCGCGUGGAGGAGGACACUUGUCUGAGAGUAGACUCCGUUUCUGACGAAAGAAUUAUGACGGUACCCAAUGAAUAAGCACCGGCUAACUACGUG